GAUGAACGCUGGCGGCGUGCCUAAUACAUGCAAGUCGAGCGAACAGAUAAGGAGCUUGCUCCUUUGAAGUUAGCGGCGGACGGGUGAGUAACACGUGGGUAACCUACCUAUAAGACUGGGAUAACUUCGGGAAACCGGAGCUAAUACCGGAUAACAUUUAGAACCGCAUGGUUCUAAAGUGAAAGAUGGUUUUGCUAUCACUUAUAGAUGGACCCGCGCCGUAUUAGCUAGUUGGUAAGGUAACGGCUUACCAAGGCGACGAUACGUAGCCGACCUGAGAGGGUGAUCGGCCACACUGGAACUGAGACACGGUCCAGACUCCUACGGGAGGCAGCAGUAGGGAAUCUUCCGCAAUGGGCGAAAGCCAGACGGAGCAACGCCGCGUGAGUGAUGAAGGGUUUCGGCUCGUAAAACUCUGUUAUUAGGGAAGAACAAAUGUGUAAGUAACUGUGCACAUCUUGACGGUACCUAAUCAGAAAGCCACGGCUAACUACGUG
rnacentral:rRNA from 1 species